UUGUCCCAUUCUAGUUUAGCU
rnacentral:miRNA from 2 species